AGUGGGGAAUAUUGCACAAUGGGCGCAAGCCUGAUGCAGCCAUGCCGCGUGUGUGAAGAAGGCCUUCGGGUUGUAAAGCACUUUCAGUCGUGAGGAAGGCGGGUACGUUAAUAGCGUAUUCGUUUGACGUUAGCGACAGAAGAAGCACCGGCUAACUCCGUGCCAGCAGCCGCGGUAAUACGGAGGGUGCGAGCGUUAAUCGGAAUUACUGGGACGUAAAGCGCAUGCAGGUGGUUUGUUAAGUCAGAUGUAGAAAGCCCCGGGCUCAACCUCGGAAUAGCUAUUUAGAAACUGGCAGACUAGAGUACUGUAGAGGGGGUAGAAUUUCAGGUGUAGCGGUGAAAUGCGUAGAGAUCUGAAGGAAUACCGGUGGCGAAGGCGGCCCCCUGGACAGAUACUGACACUCAGAUGCGAAAGCGUGGGGAGCAAACAGGAUUAGAUACCCUGGUAG
rnacentral:rRNA from 1 species